AUGUCAUCUCAAGGCAAUGUCCGCAGGCUGUCCCUUCAAAAAAUUAUCAAAGAAGAACAUCAAGACGCACCUCUUGAAUCUGUGAGUAUGCUACAAGUUAGGUCCAUUGCAACAUUUGAACCUGCUAUUGGUCUGAUGCCUCGUCUCUCAAGCUUUGUUGUUUUACGUGUAUUGGAUUUGAGUACAUGUGCACUUGUUGAUCAUAAUCUUCAGGGGUUGUGGAGUUUAGUUCACCUGAGGUACCUAGGCCUAUCUGAUACAGGACUUUGUGAGCUCCCGGAAGAGGUUGGAAAGUUGCAGUUUUUGCAGGUGCUGGAUGUGACAGGAAACUGGCGUAUUAGAAAACUGCCAUCAAGUGUUACUAAACUAAGAAGAUUGAUGUGCCUACUUUAUAAGGAAAGAUGUACUCGGCUUCCAGGUGGGAUUGGAAGCCUGACAGCAAUGGAAGAGUUGAGUUCUAUCCUUGGCGACUCUCUAAGCAUUGUGAAAGAGAUGGGCAACAUGAAAAGAAUGAGGAAGUUUAAAAUUGAGUUUGAGCAUAUGAGCUUGGAGUUGGAGGAAGCUUUUGUGAAGUCACUAGGGGAAAUGUCCAACCUCCAAAGUGUAACCAUUAGUAUUGAUGGUAGAUAUAAAAUGAUGGAUCUCUUGGGGGAAAAGUGGGUUCCCCCUCAAGGCCUCCGGGAAUUGAAGUCACGUGGUGGCAGAGUAUGUAGAUUCUCUAGGCUGCCAGCAUGGAUAAGAGAGAACCCCUCGCAGAUGUCGCAGCUCUCAUGGUUAGAAAUUGGCCUGACGGAGGUGCGACAGGUGGAUCUGAGACUGCUUGGAAGGUUGCCGGCUCUUCAGAUUCUCUUACUGGAGUGCCUCCGCCAGGGGCCUCUACUGGUCGAAGCAGAUGGGUUCCGUUGUCUGACACUGUUCUACUUGUGGUCCAGUUCGCCGGGCCAAGUCGUGUUCCAGCCAGGAGCUUUGCCCAAGGUGGAACGGAUUGCGCUCCAUACCGGUCUGUCCGUGGCAAAAGAGGAAGUAGAUGGCAACAACGGCGGUGAUUGGUUUGACACCGGCAUCGGGAACCUGCCUUCGCUUCGGAGUGUCAAUGUCGUAUUCUGCACUUCCCUACUGCGAGAGGAGGACGCCAAUAAAGCGACGUCUGCGCUGGUGACUACACUCCGUGCCCAUCCUAACAGCCCCGGCUAUGACGUCAACGUAGAAGGUUCUGUCAUUAUUUACUGGAGAAUUGCGGUGCGUCUGGAAUCUGGCCGACGGCGACAUGGAUCAACGGCACUUGCUAUCUUUCUUGGCAUAAAGAAAAAAAAACAAAAACAAGAAAAAAAUUAG
rnacentral:rRNA from 1 species